rnacentral:rRNA from 1 species
UACAGAGGUCCCGAGCGUUGUUCGGAUUCACUGGGCGUAAAGGGUGCGUAGGUGGUGAGGUAAGUCGGAUGUGAAAUCUCCAAGCUCAACUUGGAAAUGGCAUUGGAAACUACCUUGCUGGAGGUUUGGAGGGGGGACUGGAAUUCUCGGUGUAGCAGUGAAAUGCGCAGAUAUCAGGAGGAACACCGGUGGCGAAGGCGGUUCUCUGGGCAUGUCCUGACGCUGAGGAGCGAAAGUGUGGGGAGCGAACAGG